rnacentral:ncRNA from 1 species
AAAAUUCUAUGUGAAAAAAUUUACAUAUAAAUAAAUUUUUUAUGGUUUAAUAAAUUUAUUUUAAAAUUUAUUUUACAUGUAAAUUUUAGUGUUAAAUAUUAAUUAUUUAAAUAAUAAUUAAAAUUUUAUGCAGUAAUUAAUUUUAAAAAUUUAAGAAAUUAAGAUUUAGUAAUAUUUUAUAUUAAUAACUAAUUUUGUGCCAGCAGUUGCGGUUACACAAAAAUUAAUUUAAAUUUUUUUAGUAAAAAUAAUUAAUUAAAUAAGAAUAAUUUAAAUUUAAAAUUAUUAAGUGAAAUUUUUAUUUUAUAAAAAAUUAUUAAAUAAUUGAGAUUUAAUAAAUUUUAUUAAAAACUAGGAUUAGAUACCCUAUUAUUAAAAAUUUAAAUUUUAUAAUACUAAAAUAGUAAGUAAAUUUUAUUGAAACUUAAAUAAUUUGGCGGUAUUUUAGUUUAUUUAGAGGAAUCUGUUUAAUAAUUGAUAAUCCACGAAUAAAUUUACUUAAUUUAUUAUUUUGUAUAUCGUUGUUAAAAAAAUAUUUUAAAAUAAUAAUAAUAUUUAAAAUUUAAGAUAAAAAAUUAAAUCAGAUCAAGAUGCAGAUUAUAAUAAAGAAUAUAAUGGAUUACAAUAAAUUUAUUUAAAUUGAAUUUUAAUAUGAAAUGAUUAAAUGAAAUUGGAUUUAAAUGUAAUUUUAUUUAAAUUAAUAAAAUGAUUAUUAAUUAAAAUAUGUACAUAUUGCCCGUCGCUUUCAUUUAUAAAUUGGAAUAAGUCGUAACAAAGUAGAGGUACUGGAAAGUGUUUCUAGAAAGAU